rnacentral:rRNA from 1 species
UCCUUUAACGAGGAUCAAUUGGAGGGCAAAUCUGGUGCCAGCAGCCGCGGUAAUUCCAGCUCCAAUAGCGUAUGUCAAAGUUGUUGCGGUUAAAAAGCUCGUAGUUGGAUCUCAGUGUCGGACUGGCGGUGUCGCUGUAGUGGCGACCUACCGCCUGUUCCGUCGGAAGAAGCCGGCAGUUUUUCCCCUGUAUGCUCUUGACUGAGUGUCUCGGGUGGCCGGAACGUUUACUGUGAAAAAAUUAGAGUGCUCAAAGCAGGCCUUGGUGCCCGAAUACUGGUGCAUGGAAUAAUGGAGAAAGACCUCGGCUCCACGUUUGUUGGUUUACGGUGCUCGAGGUAAUGAUUAAGA